rnacentral:rRNA from 1 species
UCCAGAGAUGGAUUUGUGCCUUCGGGAACUGUGAGACAGGUGCUGCAUGGCUGUCGUCAGCUCGUGUUGUGAAAUGUUGGGUUAAGUCCCGCAACGAGCGCAACCCUUAUCCUUUGUUGCCAGCGAUUAGGUCGGGAACUCAAAGGAGACUGCCAGUGAUAAACUGGAGGAAGGUGGGGAUGACGUCAAGUCAUCAUGGCCCUUACGACCAGGGCUACACACGUGCUACAAUGGCGCAUACAAAGAGAAGCGACCU